GUCCAGUGCCAGCGCUGGUCCGCUGAGACGCCGCACAAGCUGCAGUGAGUCCCUGGUGCUCCCGGCCCCGCCAGGGCCCUAACCCUGGGGCGGCAUGCUUUGAUGUCUGGGACCAGAGCCUGGAAAUGGUUGAGACUACCCUGCCACGAUUUUGCUCCCGCUCCCGCCUCGGUUCACAUUUACCUCCGAACCGCAUGCACAACUGGAGGAGAACUUCUGCCAGACCCAGAUGGGGAUAGCCAUGGGCCCUGGUGCUACACGAUGGACCCAAGGACCCCAUUCGACUACUGUGCCCUGCGACGCUGCGCUGAUGACCAGCCGCCAUCAAUCCUGGACCCCCCCAGACCAGGUGCAGUUUGAGAAGUGUGGCAAGAGGGUGGAUCGGCUGGAUCAGCGUCGUUCCAAGCUGCGCGUGGCUGGGGGCCAUCCGGGCAACUCACCCUGGACAGUCAGCUUGCGGAAUCGGCAAGCUAACAAGUGAGCCUUGGGGCAACGGACUGAGAGUCACAAAUGACCUAGCAGAGCUUCUCUCCCAGCCAUAUGCCUCUCACGGGCUAUGAGGUAUGGUUGGG
rnacentral:lncRNA from 1 species